GACGAACGCUGGCGGCAUGCUUAACACAUGCAAGUCGAACGGAAAGGCCCUGCUUUUGUGGGGUGCUCGAGUGGCGAACGGGUGAGUAACACGUGAGUAACCUGCCCUUGACUUUGGGAUAACUUCAGGAAACUGGGGCUAAUACCGGAUAGGAGCUCCUGCUGCAUGGUGGGGGUUGGAAAGUUUCGGCGGUUGGGGAUGGACUCGCGGCUUAUCAGCUUGUUGGUGGGGUAGUGGCUUACCAAGGCUUUGACGGGUAGCCGGCCUGAGAGGGUGACCGGCCACAUUGGGACUGAGAUACGGCCCAGACUCCUACGGGAGGCAGCAGUGGGGAAUAUUGCACAAUGGGCGGAAGCCUGAUGCAGCAACGCCGCGUGCGGGAUGACGGCCUUCGGGUUGUAAACCGCUUUCGCCUGUGACGAAGCGUGAGUGACGGUAAUGGGUAAAGAAGCACCGGCUAACUACGU
rnacentral:rRNA from 1 species